rnacentral:rRNA from 1 species
AGAGAUUCGCGGCCUAUCAGCUUGUUGGUGGGGUGAUGGCCUACCAAGGCGGCGACGGGUAGCCGGCCUGAGGGUGUCCGGCCACACUGGGACUGAGACACGGCCCAGACUCCUACGGGAGGCAGCAGUGGGGAAUAUUGCACAAUGGGCGGAAGCCUGAUGCAGCGACGCCGCGUGAGGGAUGACGGCCUUCGGGUUGUAAACCUCUUUCAGUACAGAACAAGGCUCUUUCCUUUGGGGGGGUUGAGGGUAUGUGCAGAAGAAGCCCCGGCCAACUACGUGCCAGCAGCCGCGGUAAUACGUAGGGGGCGAGCGUUGUCCGGAUUCAUUGGGCGUAAAGAGCUCGUAGGCGGCUCAGUAAGUCGGCCGUGAAAGCCCGGGGCUCAACCCCGGGACGCCGGUCGAUACUGCUGUGGCUAGGGCCCGGUAGAGGAGAGUGGAAUUCCCGGUGUAGCGGUGAAAUGCGCAGAUAUCGGGAGGAACACCAGUAGCGAAGGCGGCUCUCUGGGCCGGUACCGACGCUGAGGAGCGAAAGCUAGGGGAGCAAACAGGAUUAGAUACCCUGGUAGUCCUAGCCGUAAACGUUGGGCACUAGGUGUGGCGGAUUCAUUGACAUCUGCCGUGCCGAAGCUAACGCAUUAAGUGCCCCGCCUGGGGAGUACGGAAU